CACCUUAAAUAUCGCAUCCUGUUUGCACAGAAUCACACCAGUCUUAUCUAGGUCAACUCUAGGUAGGUGUUUUAGAAACUUAUGCUAGUAGUUUUUAAGAGUUAAUUAGUAAGCAACUUUGCAGUUCCCUCGACCAUCCUUUUUCUAUUACUCUCACUUGAAACCCAGUGUAUGCAGUUUUCUUUAGAUUUUUGGGAGCAAAGUUGCACUGAUCAGCUAUGCAAGCGUCAGAGGGAGAACAGGGAGCUCUCAGUGCAACCAUCAGGUACUUGAAGACUCGCAAAGGAAUGACCAUGGCGGGGGAAAUCGUCCUUUGCUUACUUGCCAUUAUCUGCAAAGCUGCAUCUGAGGGAUGUUUCAUUGGAUUCCCUAUUGUUGAGAUGGUAUUGGCCACAUUUAUGUUAAUCAUAUUUUCAUGGGGGCUGGAUAAGAAGUUCUAUGAAGUCCACUGGCUUUGGAGUGACUUUUUCAGAGCCAUGAUUGCAUCCCCACUCUUGUUGAUCACAUCGAUGGUCUGUUUUGCCCAUACAUAUGGUAACUCUACAGCAAUAAUGGCAGAGAUCUUUGCUCUAGGUGCUGGAGUUUUGUUUGGUUAUUAGGGUUUUCUAUCGUUAAGGACAGAAAAAUAGCUAACACCGACCAGACGACAUCAGGACAAAAUGGUGUUGGAGCACAACAAAAUGGUGUUGGCAAAAUAAUCAUUGCCUAGAGAGGUAACUGGAGCUGUGACCUUGAUGGAGUCUCAGCUAAUCACAGACAAUGUGAUUCGGCAUUUUGAAGGAGACUAUUUUUAUUUAAAAGAGCUUGUUUCCUUGGCAGGCAUCAUACAGCAAUGUGGUGGCUUAUAGCUACAGUAUAUGUUACUGUACAAUAUCACCACUAUCCCUCUCAGAGCAAAGGCUUAAAGGGAAUCCAAACUACAGUAUUUCCUUGCAGACCACUUUACAGGAAGUAAAGUGUGACAUAGAAUGACAAAUUAAGCACAAUUGGCCAUGCUGUGGAGAGCUCCUUUCAUUUCUAUUUCCCUCUUACGUAAACAUGCUUCACAGAUCAGUUUAUGGCACAUUCCAAGAUCCAACACUUGCAAGAAGGUCAAGAAAUAAAGUAUGGCAGUGCUCAGUAGUCAGAUUAAAUGGAACACGCUGUACAACACAGAGAGGAAGUGUUUCUACUCUGUUACUGUUACUUAUUACUCAGUAUGUCAGCCAGAGGGCACCCUAGUGCACAAGGAACAUACAGAAGGCUUACGUGUGCAGAGGACAUGAUUACACCAGGGCACUGAGAAAGCCACGAAAGAUCAAGUACUCUUCUCUCAAACAGUGCAUCUGACUGCAGCCUUGUAGAUCCUCCCAACCUUCUGAUAAAUUAGAGUUAGGUAAAACUCUCUAUGCCCUAGUUUGCAUUUGUCUAGCAUGUGUAUACAAUUGAGGAACACGAAUGACAAGGAACAGUAUGGUUCUGAGGAAAAUUAUGUGCUUUAUAUAGUAUUUCCUCUUACCUGCAGUGUUCCUGUUCCUAUUCCCUCACAGUCACUUUUAUGUUCUCCCAUAAACCCUUGAAUCCGGUUGAUUUCACUGUGUACUUCAGUGGCAUUUGCCUUUUCCAGUACACUUUGUUGCAUAGAGGCACGGUUGUUAUUGUAGUAAGAUUUACUUAUUAUAAUCUUAACAAUAAGCUUAAAAAUGUUUAAAAGGCUAAGAAUAAUAUUCCUGCAAUGGGAUUUUUCACCAACUCAGGCUGUAUUUACAUUUAAAAUAAAGCAUAAUAUGUGUGGGUGUGAGUGUGAAUAAAUGAUUAAAGAAUUAACAUGUUAAACUUUAAAAGUGCUAAACUUAAUUGGAUAGUAGAAUGCGGUAGAGUAGUAUAUAUUAUCCAGGAAAAACAAUUCACCUGGCAACAUUAAAUCAUGUUAUCACCUGUAAUAUUAUCAAGCAUUCUAAGAUAUAUGUUUAGAUCUUAAUUAAGGCAUGGUACAUAAGUAUGUGUGUGAGAGAGAGAGUUACAAAAUGGAUGAUGGAGAACAAGACUGCAGAAAAUUAAGAAGAAAUCAAUACCCAUGAGGCCACAUUGCUGCUGGGAACGAGGGCUCAGUGAGGGUGGCAUUCAUGCAGAAGUGAGGUGAGAUUCUGGUCAAUUUACACCACUGUGGGCAGAAUGGUGUAACAGACUGAACUAGCCAGCUAGUAGGCUAUCCAGUCACUUGUCUUUAUAUCAGAACUGUCAUUCAAGUCCAAUAUUCAAUAUCUAACAUACAAGGAAGAACAACAACCCCUUACAAGGCCCUCCAAGUUCAUCUUUUUAGCAAAUUAAAC